rnacentral:rRNA from 1 species
UAAUACGAAGGAUGCGAGCGUUAUCCGGAUUUAUUGGGUUUAAAGGGUGCGUAGGCGGCUUUAUAAGUCAGUGGUGAAAUCCUAUCGCUUAACGAUAGACGUGCCAUUGAUACUGUAGAGCUUGAGUACAGAUGCCGUUGGCGGAAUGUGUCAUGUAGCGGUGAAAUGCAUAGAUAUGACACAGAACACCGAUUGCGAAGGCAGCUGACGAAACUGUAACUGACGCUGAUGCACGAAAGCGUGGGGAUCAAACAGGAUUA